GUGGGGAAUAUUGGACAAUGGGCGCAAGCCUGAUCCAGCCAUACCGCGUGGGUGAAGAAGGCCUUCGGGUUGUAAAGCCCUUUUGUUGGGAAAGAAAUCCUGUCGGUUAAUACCUGGCGGGGAUGACGGUACCCAAAGAAUAAGCACCGGCUAACUUCGUGCCAGUAGCCGCGGUAAUACGAAGGGUGCAAGCGUUACUCGGAAUUACUGGGCGUAAAGCGUGCGUAGGUGGUGGUUUAAGUCCGUUGUGAAAGCCCUGGGCUCAACCUGGGAAUUGAAGUGGAUACUGGAUCACUAGAGUGUGGUAGAGGGAUGCGGAAUUUCUGGUGUAGCAGUGAAAUGCGUAGAGAUCAGAAGGAACAUCCGUGGCGAAGGCGGCAUCCUGGGCCAACACUGACACUGAGGCACGAAAGCGUGGGGAGCAAACAGGAUUAGAAACCCGAGUAGUCC
rnacentral:rRNA from 1 species